UACGGAGGGUGCGAGCGUUGUCCGGAAUCAUUGGGCGUAAAGGGCGCGUAGGUGGCCUGCUAAGCGUGCGGUGAAAGCUCGGGGCUCAACCUCGAGUCGGCCGUGCGAACUGGUGGGCUUGAGCACUGUAGAGGCAGGCGGAAUUCCGGGUGUAGCGGUGGAAUGCGUAGAGAUCCGGAAGAACACCGGUGGCGAAGGCGGCCUGCGCUGGGCAGUGAGCUGACACUGAGGCGCGACAGCGUGGGGAGCAAACAGG
rnacentral:rRNA from 1 species